rnacentral:rRNA from 1 species
GACGAACGCUGGCGGCGUGCUUAACACAUGCAAGUCGAACGGAAAGGCCCUGCUUUUGUGGGGUGCUCGAGUGGCGAACGGGUGAGUAACACGUGAGUAACCUGCCCUUGACUUUGGGAUAACUUCAGGAAACUGGGGCUAAUACCGGAUAGGAGCUCCUGCUGCAUGGUGGGGGUUGGAAAGUUUCGGCGGUUGGGGAUGGACUCGCGGCUUAUCAGCUUGUUGGUGGGGUAGUGGCUUACCAAGGCUUUGACGGAUAGCCGGCCUGAGAGGGUGACCGGCCACAUUGGGACUGAGAUACGGCCCAGACUCCUACGGGAGGCAGCAGUGGGGAAUAUUGCACAAUGGGCGGAAGCCUGAUGCAGCAACGCCGCGUGCGGGAUGACGGCCUUCGGGUUGUAAACCGCUUUCGCCUGUGACGAAGCGUGAGUGACGGUAAUGGGUAAAGAAGCACCGGCUAACUACGUGCCAGCAGCCGCGGUGAUACGUAGGGUGCGAGCGUUGUCCGGAUUUAUUGGGCGUAAAGGGCUCGUAGGUGGUUGAUCGCGUCGGAAGUGUAAUCUUGGGGCUUAACCCUGAGCGUGCUUUCGAUACGGGUUGACUUGAGGAAGGUAGGGGAGAAUGGAAUUCCUGGUGGAGCGGUGGAAUGCGCAGAUAUCAGGAGGAACACCAGUGGCGAAGGCGGUUCUCUGGGCCUUUCCUGACGCUGAGGAGCGAAAGCGUGGGGAGCGAACAGGCCUAGAUACCCCGGUAGUCCACGCUGUAAACGGUGGGUACUAGGUGUGGGGUCCAUUCCACGGGUUCCGUGCCGUAGCUAACGCUUUAAGUACCCCGCCUGGGGAGUACGGCCGCAAGGCUAAAACUCAAAGGAAUUGACGGGACCCCGCACAAGCGGCGGAGCAUGCGGAUUAAUUCGAUGCAACGCGUAGAACCUUACCUGGGUUUGACAUGGAUCGGGAGCGCUCAGAGAUGGGUGUGCCUCUUUUGGGGUCGGUUCACAGGUGGUGCAUGGCUGUCGUCAGCUCGUGUCGUGAGAUGUUGGGUUAAGUCCCGCAACGAGCGCAACCCUUGUUCACUGUUGCCAGCACGUUAUGGUGGGGACUCAGUGGAGACCGCCGGGGUCAACUCGGAGGAAGGUGGGGAUGACGUCAAGUCAUCAUGCCCCUUAUGUCCAGGGCUUCACGCAUGCUACAAUGGCUGGUACAGAGAGUGGCGAGCCUGUGAGGGUGAGCGAAUCUCGGAAAGCCGGUCUCAGUUCGGAUUGGGGUCUGCAACUCGACCUCAUGAAGUCGGAGUCGCUAGUAAUCGCAGAUCAGCAACGCUGCGGUGAAUACGUUCCCGGG